UCCCAGGGCCGGACUGAGGAAGGGAACUUCAGCUUCUCUCCCAGUGGCACUCGGGGCGGAGAGCAAUGGGCGGAGGCAGGACCGGAAGCACUGGGCCGGCGCGGACUCCUUAACCUUCCGCUUUGGGGCAACUCCUCGGCUCUCAACUGCCACGGCCCUCCACACUUCCCCGGCCGUAAUGUAUGAUCGGGCACCCCGCUUGCUCAAAUUGGCUGAAGGUGGCAGCACUGAGGAUCACGUGGGUCCUGGAUCCUACCGGGUACCUUUUCUGAAGCAGGUAACAGGUGGCUAUGCACCAUUCCUUUCUUUGGCUGCCAGGCAAAGUACUUUUACUAGUGCCUCUAAUUUUGAGAAAGCUGUUCCAGGUCUGGGACACUAUAAUGUUUCAGAAGCACAGG